rnacentral:rRNA from 1 species
UAGAUAUAUGGAAGAACACCAGUGGCGAAAGCGGCUCUCUGGUCUGUAACUGACGCUGAGGUUCGAAAGCGUGGGUAGCAAACAGGAUUAGAUACCCUGGUAGUCCACGCCGUAAACGAUGAAUGCUAAGUGUUGGAGGGUUUCCGCCCUUCAGUGCUGCAGCUAACGCAAUAAGCAUUCCGCCUGGGGAGUACGACCGCAAGGUUGAAACUUAAAGGAAUUGACGG